rnacentral:rRNA from 1 species
GGAAGUAAAAGUCGUAACAAGGUUUCCGUAGGUGAACCUGCGGAAGGAUCAUUACUGAUUUAGCGAACCGAGCGUUAGCGAGGUUUUGCGAUCAACUUGUAUUUAAAACCCACUCUUCAAUGUAUAAAAUUUGUAUUAAUGAUAAAUUAAAAGAUCACUUUCAACAACGGAUCUCUUGGCUCUCGCAUCGAUGAAGAACGUAGCGAAGUGCGAUAAGUAAUGUGAAUUGCAGUAUUCCGUGAAUCAUCGAACCUUUGAACGCAUAUUGCACUUUCUGGUAUUCCGGAAAGUAUGCCUGUUUGAGGGUCAAUUAAAUAAAAAUCGGUGUUGUUGCCGCUUUCCGUGGUGACGCGUCGGAAUUGAGUCGUCUUCGGUUAAGUGACUUAAAAUUUUAUAUGAUUUUCGAACGUAUUUAAAUUUAUUUGAACGUUUGAUAUCGAAUGCUUAUUAGGUUCGGUCAUCCUCAUGACUCGCGCCUAUAAUUUUUCAUUAAAUGACCUCAAAUCAGGUAAGAAUACCCGCUGAACUUAAGCAUAUCAAUAAGCGGAGGA